rnacentral:lncRNA from 1 species
AAAGUUAACUUUAUUUUUUUAAUUCUAAUAAUUUCUAAUUGUAUCAAAAUAGACAUUUAGUUUGUACUCACGGCAACAUAUUUAGGCAGGGUAGGAAAAUCAGACUUUAACUUGUAAUACUGUAACAUUUUCAAAUGUGAGAGGUCAUUCAGAGCAUCUGCCUGUUCAUUUGCAUCAUUGCUUCAUGUUUCGCUCUUCAAAUGCAUGCCUAACUCCUUUGUGGCCUUAUACAGAGCCAUCAUCACUCUUACUCCUGGAGGCCCUACACUCUGCACGUUUCCUCCUUAGAAAGCAAAGAUCCACCAUUUCUUAUAUACAUUUUGUCUCAGAUUUUUUUUUUUUGAGCAUGAGGAACAAUUUUCUGUUUAAAUCCAGAAGAAAAAUGCUUUCCUUCAUAGAAUUAAAAAUGAAAUGAAAUGGGAAAAUAUUUCAAAAAAUUGUCUGUAAGGGGAAAAACCCCUUUCCUUUACCACAGCAUUCCUAAAUCUUUUCUCUGCCCCUCAAGCCUUUGUUGCUCAAAUGGGAUUACAAGCAGUUUACAUCAGCAAGGUGCCAGCAAGCACUCAGCCCCACUCCUCUACACAUACAGAGUUGUUUCACCACCCAGCAGCCAAAGGUGUUCAGCACACUCCCUCAUUCUCUGUUAUAAAAUAAAUCACUUCAGUAAAUACCAUUCUGGUUAAAUUUAGUGAGGAAUAGGAAACUUGAUGUCACUGUAAUAGCUUUAAAGGGCAAAUUCAAUUGUCCCUGCACAAAUGUAAGUAGUGAAAGGCUAAGCUUGAACUUAAUGGAAAAUUAUUUCAUUAACAGAUCAUUUAAAGUGGAAAAGGCACAGUGACUUAUCCAGUGGCUUUGUAUAGCACAAACAAGAUUGCCAAGGGGCAGAAAUAUUGUUGAAAAUAGAAGCAGAGUUAAAGUAAAACACAGACCUUCUGCAGGAGAGAGUCUUUCUCAGAUAUAUUUUUCCUUAGUAUCUAAUUCCUAAAGGUUUUCAGUAAAACUUUGAAAUAGUCAGUAACAUGCUAUAGUAUUGCUGGAGAGGUAGUGCAAGAUGAGAAAGAAAGGGAUACCAGGAAUCGUAUUUAUAUCUCUGAAACAACGGUAUGAUUCUCAACUGUUAGGAGAAAAAAGAGAAUGAAUCUUGAUAGGGAAGCAUGUAUUAAUUUGAUCUUACCUUGUCCUUUUUUGGUUGUCUAUGCUUAACUUUUGUUGUUGGCUUUUUUUUUUUUCUUGGUUGAAAUGAUCUGCAUUCACAAACAGAUUUUCUGAUACCCUAGCAUGAAUUAUAAACCAAAAUUGGAAGUGCGCUUACUAGGAUGAAUUAACCAAGUAGAUUUCCGUGGAUCCUAGCGCAACUGCUGUGCAUCUGGCAAUUCCUCCCACCCAGCAGUUGAUCUGCCUAAGUCCAGACAGCAGAGACUUGAGGGUCUAGGAUCCAGCACUUGGGGAAUUCUCAGCCUGUCAGCUUUCCUGCUACCAUGCUUCAUUUCAGAAACCAGGCCUUGGGUUACAAAGAUGUUUCCAGGUUCUUCCUUUUUAAUAACAACAGAGCUACCAGGGUGACCAGCCAAGCAUGGAGAAAGACCCUCUUCUCAUUAAAAUUCCCCAUACUGCAGAUAAGGGCAGGAACGAAUUCGCUCUCAGGAAGUACUGAAAUGAGAGGUAUCUGAUUCUUCUCUUUCUUUUUAAUGUUCUCCAAUUGUAUUGGUUCCAUAUUAUUCCAUGAUUUUAGCUGUACUUCCUCAGCUUGUUCAUUACCAUGAUCACAGCAUCCACCACUGUUUUCUCCACUUCAAAAAUGGUGCAUAUUCACACAGAAGACUUACUUACAAAGCAAAAUAUCUUGGUUAAUUCACUGCCUAAAAUUUGUGCAGUUGUCUUUUGUUCACUGUGUACAGGCAAAAAUGAGCUAAUUUGAAGUAUAUAGUGAGAC